UUGACCUCAAAUCAGGUAGGACUACCCGCUGAACUUAAGCAUAUCAAUAAGCGGAGGAAAAGAAACUAACAAGGAUUCCCCUAGUAACUGCGAGUGAAGCGGGAAAAGCUCAAAUUUAAAAUCUGGCGGUCUUUGGCUGUCCGAGUUGUAAUUUAGAGAAGUGUUAUCCGCGCUGGACCGUGUACAAGUCUCCUGGAACGGAGCGUCAUAGAGGGUGAGAAUCCCGUCUUUGACACGGACCACCAGUGCUUUGUGAUGCGCUCUCGAAGAGUCGAGUUGUUUGGGAAUGCAGCUCAAAAUGGGUGGUAAAUUCCAUCUAAAGCUAAAUAUUGGCGAGAGACCGAUAGCGAACAAGUACCGUGAGGGAAAGAUGAAAAGAACUUUGGAAAGAGAGUUAAACAGUACGUGAAAUUGUUGAAAGGGAAACGCUUGAAGUCAGUCGCGUUGUCCGGGGAUCAACCUUGCAUUCGUGCUYGGCGUACUUCCCGGUCGACGGGUCAGCAUCAAUUUUGACCGCUGGAUAAAGGUCAGGGGAAUGUGGCAUCCUCGGAUGUGUUAUAGCCUCUGGCUGCAUACAGCGGUUGGGAUUGAGGAACUCAGCACGCCGCAAGGCCGGGUUUUURACCACGUACGUGCUUAGGAUGCUGGCAUAAUGGCUUUAAUCGACCCGUC
rnacentral:rRNA from 2 species